AUUGAACGCUGGCGGCAGGCCUAACACAUGCAAGUCGAGCGGAUGAAGGGAGCUUGCUCCUGGAUUCAGCGGCGGACGGGUGAGUAAUGCCUAGGAAUCUGCCUGGUAGUAGGGGAUAACGUCCGGAAACGGGCGCUAAUACCGCAUACGUCCUGAGGGAGAAAGUGGGGGAUCUUCGGACCUCACGCUAUCAGAUGAGCCUAGGUCGGAUUAGCUAGUUGGUGGGGUAAAGGCCUACCAAGGCGACGAUCCGUAACUGGUCUGAGAGGAUGAUCAGUCACACUGGAACUGAGACACGGUCCAGACUCCUACGGGAGGCAGCAGUGGGGAAUAUUGGACAAUGGGCGAAAGCCUGAUCCAGCCAUGCCGCGUGUGUGAAGAAGGUCUUCGGAUUGUAAAGCACUUUAAGUUGGGAGGAAGGGCAGUAAGUUAAUACCUUGCUGUUUUGACGUUACCAACAGAGUAAGCACCGGCUAACUUCGUG
rnacentral:rRNA from 1 species